rnacentral:lncRNA from 1 species
GGAUGAAGAAUUGAAACCCUAGCUUUGGUUUUGUAGAAGAGGUAUGAUCUCCAGGGGCCAGGGGGCCUUGCUUAUAUAGUCUUUUCAGAUGAAUCUGGGCCGUCGGAUCAAACCGACAUUAAUCGCACGGUUUUCCUUGAUCCCUUAGGUCGGUGGAGCACGAUCCACAAAGUUAGUCGUGAUUGGUGGAAAAAGGUGGGAGGGCACCCUAAGGAGUAGGGCGGACGCCCUGUCCCCGAGCCUUGUCGGCUUCC